UACGUAGGGUGCGAGCGUUGUCCGGAAUUAUUGGGCGUAAAGGGCUCGUAGGCGGUCUGUCGCGUCGGGAGUGAAAACUCAGGGCUUAACCCUGAGCCUGCUUCCGAUACGGGCAGACUAGAGGUAUGCAGGGGAGAACGGAAUUCCUGGCGUAGCGGUGGAAUGCGCAGAUAUCAGGAGGAACACCGGUGGCGAAGGCGGUUCUCUGGGCAUUACCUGACGCUGAGGAGCGAAAGUGUGGGGAGCGAACAGG
rnacentral:rRNA from 1 species